rnacentral:rRNA from 1 species
GAUGAACGCUAGCGGCAGGCUUAAUACAUGCAAGUCGUGGGGCAGCAGGUCCCGCAGCAAUGCGGGAUGCUGGCGACCGGCAAACGGGUGCGGAACACGUACACAACCUUCCUUUAAGUGGGGCAUAGCCUAAGGAAACUUGGAUUAAUACCCCGUAACAUAUUGAAAAGGCAUCUUUUUAAUAUUAUAGCAGCAAUGCGCUUGAAGACGGGUGUGCGUCUGAUUAGGAGUUGGCGGGGUAACGGCCCACCAAGCCUUCGAUCAGUAACUGGUGUGAGAGCACGACCAGUCACACGGGCACUGAGACAC